UGGGCUUAUGACUUCUUGAUGAUUAAUCAACACUUCUUAAUUUCUUGUGAUCUAAUUUUGCUUAUCUCUCGGUUACAAAAUCAGGAGAUUUUUUAUCAAUUUCUGAUAUGAAUACUUUGAAUAGAUGCGUGACGACUCAAUUAAAAUUAGAGGACGAGGCUGAAAUACCGACCCAACCUUACUCAUUACUUCUUGGGGCAGCUGCACUACUUUUAUAUCCUUGCACGUUAUCAUUCUGAAAUACACACUAUGACAGCCCUGUUCGUGGCUAGAGGGACAUAGCUAAUACUUCAAAUCUCUGGGGUCUCGGCAGGAGCAAAUGAGGCGAAUUAAGGGAGGUUGUGAGAUUUGAAUGGGAUUGAGAUAGGUUUCUCCGCCAUCUGCAAACAAGUGUGGCCGUGAAGAGAGGGAUAUCAGCACUGGGGUUAUGAAUACAUAUAGACACAAGUUCACCAGUCAUUAUUCUUCAAUGCUGGCUAUAUUUUUACUCUGUGUAGAAGCACGGCAGUGCAGUUCAACACCUCUUCGCCAGCAAUAGGUAACUUUUCAGCAAUGUCGGCUCAGUAUUUAUCCGAGUAUUGAGUUGAUGGGGAUCAAUCUGGCAGCCCUGCAUAUUACCUACACGGCGCAACGAAAACACCCGGUCUGCGUUUAUUUCAUGAGAUUUUCUCGGCGUCGAGGAGAGAUUUGCAGCCGCGCAUUUAUUGUCAGUCCUGAUCGGGUACUUCUCGGGAGCUUGGGAAAGGCCCAGCCUUGCCAAGACCUCUCAGUAGCUUUGGAAAUUUCCAGUCCUGCUCGGG
rnacentral:lncRNA from 1 species